rnacentral:rRNA from 1 species
UAUGUGAUCGUCUCUCGCAUAUCAAUAAGCGGAGGAAAAGAAACUAACAAGGAUUCCCCUAGUAACGGCGAGUGAAGCGGGAAGAGCUCAAAUUUGAAAUCUUAAAGGGUUUCCCUUUACGAAUUGUAGUUUAAAGAAGUGUUUUCUGUUGAGGUUUUGGUAAGAGUUCUUUGGAAUAGGACAUCAUAGAGGGUGAGAAUCCCGUAUUUGACCUUUACUUCCAACUUUGUGAUACACUUUCAAAGAGUCGGAUUGUUUGGGAAUGCAGUCCAAAAUGGGUGGUAAAUUUCAUCUAAAGCUAAAUAUUGGCGAGAGACCGAUAGCGAACAAGUACCGUGAGGGAAAGAUGAAAAGAACUUUGAAAAAGAGUUAAACAGUACGUGAAAUUGUCAAAAGGGAAGGGUUUGACACCAGUGUUGUUUUCCUGAAAAUCAAUUAAAGAACUGUUUAUGCUAAGUUGUUUAGACUUUAUCAGCUAACUGUUUAGUUUUGAGCUUUUCUUUGAUGCACUUUUCAGUUAACAAGUCAACAUCAAUUUCUUUUGCUGUAAAAAAGCUUGAGGAAGGUGGCUUGAGAUUCGUCUUAAGUGUUUAUAGCCUCUUGCCUAUGCAGUCGGAGAGAUUGAGGUCUGCAGCGUAGAUCCUUCGGGGCUAAAUGCAUUUGUGCUAAGUUAUAGCAUUUUAUAGACAACUUGUUGACUAUGAUUUGUCUUGUAGCUUACUCGCUUAUGUUAUUUUACCUACGCUUAGGAUGUUGACACACGCGCGUGCUCG